rnacentral:misc_RNA from 1 species
CCCAGCCUCUGCCUCCAGGAGCACCUGCUAAUAUCUUGCAUGGUCCUGCCUUCAUCUUCCCUUUGAGUCAACAGCAAGCGGCAGCUGCUGCUUCCGCUCGACCUGGUACAGUGAAGUCUCCUGCUGUUGCAGGUAGCACAACUUCAUCAAGCGCCUCUAAUUCUGCCUCAAUCAGUGCCACAACACCAGCGGUAGCUGGUGCCACAGCGAUGAGCUUCAACUACCCAA